rnacentral:rRNA from 1 species
AUGCCCACCUUCGCCCUCACCGUCCUUUGGGCUCCGAAGAAGUUCUUCAAAGACAUCGACAAGGCCAGGAGGCGCUUCCUUUGGGCGCACGACGGCGAGAUCUCUGGCGGAAAAUGCAAGGUAGGCUGGAAGAUGGUCACUAGACCAGAGCGCGUUGGUGGCCUGGGCAUACACGACCUGUCUGCGUUCGCCCGCGCACUACGGCUGCGCUGGCUGUGGCUCGCCUGGACGCAGCCAAACCGGCCCUGGGUCGGCUCGGGCGUUCCCUGCAACGACGAUGAUGAAGCUUUGUUUGCGGCCUGCACGGUGGUCACCAUCAACGACGGAACCAUGACAUCGUUCUGGUCGUCCAACUGGCUCGACGGCAGGCCCCUGCGCGCAGCUUACUCGGAGGUCUUCGCGCAAUCCAUCCGGAAAUGCAGGACCGUGCGGGACACUCUGCAGCAGGACCGUGCGGGACGCUCUGCACCAGGACCGUUGGGUUCUCGACCUUCGCCACAACAACUUCUCCAGCAUCAUCCACCAGGUGCUUCAACUGGCCAGGCAGCUGCGAGAUGCCGCAAUCACCCUGGUUGGGGGCACGGCGGACACGAUCAGAUGGACACCAUGCAGCUCUGGCUUGUACUCUGCGCGAUCAGCAUACGAUGUGCAAUUCGAAGACACUCCCCUGCUCAACUUCAAGAACUCGAUCUGGAAAGCAUGGGGGCCGGGCAAAAUGAAAAUGCUCCUCUAGCUGCUGCAAUUGGACCGGCUCUGGUGCUGCGACAGACUCCAGCGGCGUGGCUGGGAAAACAACUACUUCUGUCAGCUCUGCGUGCGACAGCUUGA